rnacentral:rRNA from 1 species
GACGAACGCUGGCGGCGUGCUUAACACAUGCAAGUCGAACGGUAAGGCGCCAGCUUGCUGGGGUGCACGAGUGGCGAGCGGGAGGGUUGCACGUGGGGUACCUGACCUGCACUUUGGGAUAAGCCAGCGAAACUGAGGCUAAUCCCGGACAGGACCGCACCGUGCGGGUGCGGUGGGGGGUUGUUUAGGUGUGGGUUGGGUUGGGGGACGGUCAGCUUGUUGGUGGGGUAGUGGGCUGCCAAGGCGGCGACGGGUAGGCGGCCUGAGAGGGUGGACGGCCACAUUGGGACUGAUACACGGGCCAGACUCCUACGGGAGGGAGCAGUGGGGAAUAUUGCACAAUGGGCGGAAGCCGGAUGCAGCGACGCCGCGUGGGGGAUGACGGCCUUCGGGUUGUAAACCCCUUUCACCAUCGAUGAAGGGUUUCUGACGGUAGAUGGAUAAGAAGCACCGGCUAACUACGUG